GUGGGGAAUAUUGGGCAAUGGGGGAAACCCUGACCCAGCAACGCCGCGUGGAGGAAGAAGGUCUUCGGAUUGUAAACUCCUGUCCUUGGGGACGAAGGAAGUGACGGUACCCGAGGAGGAAGCCCCGGCUAACUACGUGCCAGCAGCCGCGGUAAUACGUAGGGGGCGAGCGUUGUCCGGAAUUACUGGGCGUAAAGGGAGCGCAGGCGGCCUGUUAAGUGGGAUGUGAAAUACCCGGGCUUAACCCGGGGGGUGCAUUUCAAACUGGCGGGCUUGAGUGUGGGAGAGGAAAGUGGAAUUCCUAGUGUAGCGGUGAAAUGCGUAGAUAUUAGGAGGAACACCAGUGGCGAAGGCGGCUUUCUGGACCACAACUGACGCUGAGGCUCGAAAGCGUGGGGAGCAAACAGGAUUAGAAACCCUAGUAGUCC
rnacentral:rRNA from 1 species